UGCUCCACUAUUUAUUAGAAC
rnacentral:piRNA from 1 species